AGAGUUUGAUUAUGGCUCAGAACGAACGCUGGCGGCAGGCUUAACACAUGCAAGUCGAACGCCCGUAGCAAUACGGGAGUGGCAGACGGGUGAGUAACACGUGGGAACGUGCCCAAAGGUACGGAACAACUCCGGGAAACUGGAGCUAAUACCGUAUGUGCCCGAAAGGGGAAAGAUUUAUCGCCUUUGGAUCGGCCCGCGUCUGAUUAGCUAGUUGGUGAGGUAACGGCUCACCAAGGCGACGAUCAGUAGCUGGUCUGAGAGGAUGAUCAGCCACACUGGGACUGAGACACGGCCCAGACUCCUACGGGAGGCAGCAGUGGGGAAUAUUGGACAAUGGGCGAAAGCCUGAAUCCAGCCAUGCCGCGUGAGUGAUGAAGGCCUUAGGGUUGUAAAGCUCUUUCGGCGGGGACGAUAAUGACGGUACCCGCAGAAGAAGCCCCGGCUAACUUCGUGCCAGCCGCGGC
rnacentral:rRNA from 1 species